rnacentral:snoRNA from 1 species
GCCAGAGAUGGCAGGCCCGUCCCCCUGGGCCUCUCAUAGUGUCCCAGGCCACAGCAAAGGUGGCCCCGAGCCAUGGCCUGGCCUCUGCCAUAGGCUGCAGGCACCGAAGUUGGUCACACACUG